UGCCUUGACUUGUACUGGCUUGUCAGGAGGGAGUUGAGGCUUGUGGUCAGCACCAGCAACUCUAUUUGCGUUUUCAUCCAAUUGACCAGUGAAAGAGACAACUGCAAUACUGUCGACUGGAGACUAUACUGAACUGAAUGGAUACUGGGACAGACUGAACUGAGAAUCUCGACAGGGAUAUCCCUUCUCUGGAAGAUCCCUGACUUCACCUCGGCUAAUCAAUCCUCUGAUGGCAUGACCCCGGAGAGAGACAAAAGAAAUGUAUCCAGAUGUUCUGGAGAAGAUGACAGACCCUGUGUCAGCAGUAAGGAAACCUCUCACCUACCGUCUUUUCUUGGAAAGCAAAAGCAGAACAAAGGCUUAUUCUUUCAGGGGAAAUCUACCUCUGUCCCUGGCUGUCAUACAGGUACUGUGGACAUUCCAUGAGCAGAGUAUUAAAGUGUCCAGAGCUGACCUGCAGGAGACGGCAGAGUCAUAUACUGGAAGCCUCUACAGUCACCGACAGCUGAUGGUGAUGGAAGGGAAGAGAGCGAGUGAGGGAUGAGGGCCGCUGCUGUGAGUGGUUCUCUGGCAGUGUCUUAGCUGGUUGUUGUGUGGAGUGAGAACGAAGCAAUCAGCAAGUAUACUGCCGCAGAAACUCGUCACCUUGGGAGGCCCAUCCAUCUGAGGAACCCACCCGCACUCAGAGGCUGGAGAGAGACAAGAAAAGAGAAACCUCAGUCUGUGCUCAUUAUCAAGCUUCUCUACCCAUUCAUUCUUCUUCUAAUUGUGAGUGUCAGCUUUUGUUUAUUGGCACCGCUGCUUAAACACGUACAGUGACUUGAGUGUUUCAAGUGAAAGAUUGGUUCAUGUAUGUUUUCUCUUAUUUUCUAUGACAUUGCUGUCAUAGUUUAGAUCGGUCUGUUCCCUUUCUUUCUUCUUCCAUGAGAUCAGGAGUAAAUCAUUCAGUGUUAUUGUGAAUAUCAGCUGACCAGAUUUCACAGUUUCGGUAUUGGUAUGACUUGGCCUGUUUAUACUUGGCCUAUAUUUAGCUUACAAUCUGAUGACAUAUUAGUACUGUGCUGUGAUGUGUUUAUGUAUAAGUUUGAUGAAGGACCAAAACAUUAAUCAUAUGAUAAACCAAAAAUUCUACUCAUUUACUUUUCACUUAAACACUAAAAAUAGAGAGAAUGUAUAAGUGAAAGAAAGUUAUGUAUAAAAUUCACUUCAUUUAAAAAAAAUAUUUUGUAAUUUUUUGUAAUAUUUUUGUAUCAAUAUUCAUUUUAAAAAUGAUCUGUAACAAAAUAUAUAAAAAUUCU